CGACUGCAUCACCACUAAAAAUAGAACAGUGAGUUCAGAGAGGAUGUAAAAUGCAGUAUUUCUAUCAGAAAAAUGCUAAUAGUUCAAGCUGCAAUAGGAAACUGAAAAGGCCAUAAGGACUACAUGAACUGUCAAAAUGUGUGCAGCACAGGCUGUGAAUAAAGAUUGUGAUUAAAGCUAAUUGACAGGCAAUUUUCAACAGACAGAGGAAUCAAGGGAUCCAGUCUCUGAUAGCAGUAUAGCUUUUCCUUUUGACUGAAUUCAUCCUUUACAAGCUAUUUUUUUUUAAGUUGUCUUAGUUUACUUCUCCUCCUCCCAGUGAAGAUUUCACUUCAAACAUCAGCUGGGAUAAAUUUCAGUCAUGGUCUUCAGAACUGUUAUACCCAGAGGCCGAUUCUCUUAGAGCUUUUUCCACCUUUUCACCUGGUUGUCAGCUUGCUUCCAUGGGUCUGCCUUCAAAGACAGCCAAAUCAGGUUCUUCUGUCCAUCAAAGUCCAUCUUGGGAGGUGGGAGGGAAUAGCAGCUGUAUAGUUUGGAUGCAUCAGGCAAGGCGAGGAUGCAGCUGUGCUUCUCUGCAGAAGGCCGUGAUGGUGCAGUGCAAUCACCUGGCAGCAGCUGCACAUGAAACAAAUCCCACAGCUGUCAGCAUGUCCUGGCCACUUCAAGGGAAAUGGCACCAACUUUGUGCCAGAUAUGAUGCCUUCCUAAUUUCCAAGACAUAAAAGAAAGCAAAUGUGGAGAACUGUACAUGAAGGAGAAAUCUAUUUGUCAGGGUGUGACUACAUGUAAAUUGGGCCAUUCUAGUCUACGUUUGCCAUGUAGACUGUGACUGCUCUAUCCGUGCUGACUUCUACAUUUUGUAUGAUAUGUCACUGCAGGUGAAACUUCAUACUUGAGUCUAAGCCCUGCAGUCAGCUAGUGUCAGAGUCCUGAAUAAAGAAUUGUUUGUGUACCUGUCA
rnacentral:lncRNA from 1 species